UUAGUCACUUAUCUCUCUUUACAGUAAGUUACACUUAUUCAUUAGCAUUUUAGUAUUACUGUAAGCGUACGUAGCUAGUAACUUACAAUAGUAACACUUAGAAAUAAUAUAUCGCAAAAAAAAAACAAGACAAAAACAACAUUCAUAUCAUAUGAAAAAAAAUAAACAAAACAAGGAGUCAUCUCAUGACUUACGCGAAAUAAAUGUCAAAACUCUUACAAAGCUAAUAAUACUCGCACACCAAAGUAAACAGUAGAAAGAAUAUAUUAUAUGAAAUCAAAAAUAAACAUAACAGGAAGUCACCUCAUGAAUUACACGAAACAAAUGUCAAAACUCUUACAAAGCCAAUAAUACUCAGUUACCAAAGUAAACAGAGUGCCUAGUGCGAGUUUUGCAAGUUAACUUUUUCGAUGCGUAAAUUAUCAUACAACUUAAUUACGUAGUAUUCAUUUUUGACAUGUUUAUUUCAUAAAGGCUGUCAUCGGCACUUGGUCGUACUAUAAACGCGCUCACUUGCGAAAUAGUAUACGUCAUUAUCCGGAAAAAUGAAUGAACGUACUAUAUUCUAAUCAUGUGAUGUAGCAUACGACUCUUUACUUCAGCCAGGUUAUAAUUACGUAUCGAGUGCGUAAACUUACAAAACUCGGAAUCAGCACUCAGUAGAAAGAAUAUAUCGUAAGAAAUCAAAAAUAAACUUAACAAGGUCAUCUCAUGACUUACACGAAACAAAUGUCAAAACUCUUACAAAGCUAAUACUCGCACACCAAAGUAAAGAGUAGUAAUAAUAUAAUAAAUGAAAUUAAAAAUAAACAAAACAAGAAGUGAUCUCAUGAAUUGCAUGAAACAAAUGUCAAAACUCUUAACAAGCUAAUAAUACUCAGAUACCAAAGUAAACAGAGUGCCUAGUGCGAGUUUUGCAAGUUAACUUUGUUGAUGCGUAAAUUAUCAUACAACUUAAUUACGUAGUAUUCAUUUUUGACAUGUUUAUUUCAUAAAGGCUGUCAUCGGCACUUGGUCGUACUAUAAACGCGCUCACUUGCGAAAUAGUAUACGUCAUUAUCCGGAAAAAUGAAUGAACGUACUAUAUUCUAAUCAUGUGACGUAGCAUACGACUCUUUACUUCAGCCAGGUUAUAAUUACGUAUCGAGUGCGUAAACUUACAAAACUCGGAAUCAGCACUCAGUAGAAAGAAUAUAUCGUAAGAAAUCAAAAAUAAACUUAACAAGGUCAUCUCAUGACUUACACGAAACAAAUGUCAAAACUCUUACAAGGCUAAUACUCGCACACCAAAGUAAAGAGUAGUAAUAAUAUAUUAAAUGAAAUCAAAAAUAAACAAAACAAGAAGUGAUCUCAUGAAUUGCAUGAAACAAAUGUCAAAACUCUUACAAAGCUAAUACUCGCACACCAAAGUAAACAGUAGAAAGAGAUAUCGUAUGAAAUCAAAAAUAAACAAAACAGGAAGUGAUCUCAUGAAUUACACGAAACAAAUGUCAAAACUCUUACAAAGCUAUUAAAUCCAUGACCGUUAUUUGAAGCUUACUAUUUGAGAUAGGCCCUUUCCGUUUUCCGGUUAUAUAUUUCCUUCUCCUUCACUCCUUUACGUCUGUCUCGCUCGCACACUCCCCACCAGGCAGGUCCGAGCUCAGUCGGAGGCUCGAAGGCAUAUCAUGAAUCAUUGGCGUCUUGUUUUCCGGCCAGUACGGUUGUCUUCACCAACAAACCGUAAAUAAAAGUAUCGCUGCGCGCGAUAAUUUAUUGUUAUAUAUAUAAAAUUAACGGUUUUACCGUUCGUUUUUUAAAUUCGAUUAAUAUAGCUGUUGUAAUUCGAAUUGAUUACUAAGAUACCUACCUAUCUUUUGGAAAGUUUUUACUUUCAGGAUGGAUGAUAUAGACAAUAAUACAUGUGUGACCGCUAUUAUUGAGGAGCCGCGACACGAUUUAUCGCGGGAUUGUGUACCAAAGCCAACUCAAUCCAGCUCUCGGAAACGUGCACGCUCAGUUAGAAGUUCAUCCAGUAGCAGCCACUCUUCGUCAAGUGAUACCACGGAUUCCACGUCCUCCUCCGACCGAAAGAAGAAACGUGGCCACAAAAGAAGGAGGGGCAAACACAGUCGUAAAUCACGAAAAGACGAUCGGCAGAUGCACAAGUUAUUUCGAGAGCUUAUCUGUGGACACAGAGCGGAAGUUUUACAAA